rnacentral:rRNA from 1 species
GCAGUCGAGCGAGCAGAACCAGCAGAUUUACUUCGGUAAUGACGCUGGGGACGCUGAGCGGCGGAUGGGUGAGUAACACGUGGGGAACCUGCCCCAUAGUCUGGGAUACCACUUGGAAACAGGUGCUAAUACCGGAUAAGAAAGCAGAUCGCAUGAUCAGCUUAUAAAAGGCGGCGUAAGCUGUCGCUAUGGGAUGGCCCCGCGGUGCAUUAGCUAGUUGGUAAGGUAACGGCUUACCAAGGCAAUGAUGCAUAGCCGAGUUGAGAGACUGAUCGGCCACAUUGGGACUGAGACACGGCCCAAACUCCUACGGGAGGCAGCAGUAGGGAAUCUUCCACAAUGGACGCAAGUCUGAUGGAGCAACGCCGCGUGAGUGAAGAAGGUUUUCGGAUCGUAAAGCUCUGUUGUUGGUGAAGAAGGAUAAAGGUAGUAACUGGCCUUUAUUUGACGGUAAUCAACCAGAAAGUCACGGCUAACUACGUGCCAGCAGCCGCGGUAAUACGUAGGUGGCAAGCGUUGUCCGGAUUUAUUGGGCGUAAAGCGAGCGCAGGCGGAAGAAUAAGUCUGAUGUGAAAGCCCUCGGCUUAACCGAGGAACUGCAUCGGAAACUGUUUUUCUUGAGUGCAGAAGAGGAGAGUGGAACUCCAUGUGUAGCGGUGGAAUGCGUAGAUAUAUGGAAGAACACCAGUGGCGAAGGCGACUCUCUGGUCUGCAACUGACGCUGAGGCUCGAAAGCAUGGGUAGCGAACAGGAUUAGA